rnacentral:tRNA from 1 species
GGGCGGAUAGCUCAGCGGUCAGAGCGCCUGCCUUACAAGCAGGAGGUCGCAGGUUCGAACCCCGCUCCGCCCACCA